ACCGCAUCUGUCUUUUUCUCUGGGUACAUUGUGUGGAUGGAAGAAGAACACGUUCGGUCAUUUCGGUCAUCAAAUUCUUCAGGGUUUGGGGUCCCAUACAGUUGAUGUGUUCUAGAAGCGUAUGAGCAUAUGAUUAGUAUAUUGAAAUUAAGUAUAAGGCAUAAGCGGAGAUGACAACACCCGAGAAUAAACCUCCAAGUACAGAGCCAGCAAGUAAGCCAACUCCUGUAACAAAGCCACAGACCACCAGUGUAUCACUAUCGAGCCUUCCAAAAAAACCAAAUUACAGUUUGAAAUUUACUCUAGCUGGUCAUACAAAAGCUGUUUCCUCUGUCAAGUUUAGUCCAAACGGAGAAUGGCUAGCAAGUUCGUCUGCUGAUAAACUCAUAAAAAUAUGGGG